CAGUCGCCACGGGAAUACGUAGGUGGCAAGCGUUGUCCGGAAUGAUUGGGCGUAAAGGGCGCGCAGGCGGCUGUGUAAGUCUGCCUAGAAAGUGCGGGGCUAAACCCCGUGAGAGGAUGGAAACUGAACAGCUGAGAGUGUCGGAGAGGAAAGCGGAAUUCCUAGUGUAGCGGUGAAAUGCGUAGAUAUUGGGAGGAACACCAGUGGCGAAGGCGGCUUUCUGGACUGCAACUGACGCUGAGGCUCGAAAGCCAGGGGAGCGAACGGGAUUAGAUACCCCCGUAGUCCCUGUCUCUUAUAA
rnacentral:rRNA from 1 species